rnacentral:rRNA from 1 species
AUGCCAAGCACUCAUUUGACACCCAAUGCAUAUGAUGACAUGGGAAGGGAAUUCUUGCUGAGAACUGGACUUGAGUACACACCAAAGCAAGUGAGGAACAAAUGGACCAAGUUAAAACGUGAGUACAACACAUUCAAGAAGCUCAAGUUGCGCGAGACUGGAGGGGUCCAGGACUUUGAGAAAAACACUGUGAAACAAGAUAAUGAGUGGGGGAAAAAGGCGAAAGUUGACCUCCCAGGUUGUGGCAAGUUCAAGAAGCAUGGACUUCGUAAUGAAGAAGUCCUGUGCAUCUUGUUUGAGGAUGUCAGUGUUGAUGGCACUGACCAUUGGAACCCCGCAUCUGGUCUACCUCGCCCCUCUAGUUCGGCAUUGAAAACCUCCUUGAAUGUUGAUGAAAUCACCGAUCUUGAUUUGGGGAAUGAUGUCGAAGAGCAACCUUCUCCAUCAGUAGCUAGUUCAUCUAAAGUGAGGCUUGGGGUCACGAUUCCGGAGAAGAACAAGAAACCGAAGACCGCACAAGUGAUGCAAGAGGAGAUUAGAAAGAUUAGUUCUAUUGCCCGGCCUUCACACACAUCGUUUCAAUCUUUCCUAAAGAAAGAUGAGACCAUUUCUGUUGCCUCUACCAUGGAUUUAGUUCGUGAUUGUGGCGCAAUAGAUGGCACUGAUGAGCAUUUAAUUGCUACUGAGCUUUUUCUGAAGAGAGAGCAAAGAGAGAUGUUCUUGCACAUGACAUCCGACUCUCGAAAGGGUUGGUUGCGUAGGAGGAUGCCAAACUACUCGUUCCAAACACAGAUGAAGAUAGUUGCAGCUACUAUGACAUUGCACAACUAUGUUCGCCUCCUUGACAAAGAUGAUAUCCACUUUGUUCGAUGUGAAAGGGAUCCGGAUUAUGUUCCAACAAUCCAUGAUAGAUAUAAGAAGUAUGUUAUUCCUUCAAGUGCAUCAGAUGCUUCAACUUCAGAGGCAAGUGCUCCUGACAUGGAUAGGUUUAGGAAUGAACUAGCUACCGCUAUUGCUCUUGGUUGGUGA